rnacentral:tRNA from 1 species
GAGGGUGUAGCUUAGUGGUAGGGCGUGUGCCUAGCCUGCACAAGGUCCUGGAUUCAAUCCCCAGUACCUACA